GCCGUUUUAGCUCAGCAGGUAGAGCACUUCCAUGGUAAGGAAGAGGUCGGCAGUUCAAAUCUGCCAAACGGCU
rnacentral:tRNA from 1 species